GUCCCAAUGGCAAGGGCCAGCAUUCUGUGGCUCAUUGGAGAGUACUGUGAACGUGUCCCGAAGAUCGCACCCGAUGUUCUGAGGAAGACGGCCAAAACGUUUAUCAAUGAGGAUGAUAUUGUAAAACUGCAAAUUUUAAACCUUGCUGCCAAACUCUACUUGACAAACUCCAAGCAGGUAACACAAUCUGACAUAUUACCCUUCUUUCUCCAUAAUCUAUUAUUUGUUGCUAUGCUAUGCUAGUUUCUAAUAUUUUUACCAUGUUUGUCCUUGUCUGUAACUCUGUUCCAUUUCACAGUGCAGCGGAACCUGCUGACACCUUAUAUAGUAAAUCUAAGUAAACAUUCCGUAAUCUUCAGAUGUGGUGUGGGUUCUGUAUACAGAACAUUUCUAAAAGUGGUGCAGGCAGUUUCAUUGGUGAUUGUUCCACUGUUACAGCUUUGUACCAGAAAUGUAUUUUAUACAGAAUCCUAAAUGUAUCUUAACUAAUGGACCUGUCGGUUGGCUGAACCUGCUUAAAGGACCACUAUAGCAUCCAGACCACCUCAGCUCAAUGAAGUGGUCUGGGUGCCAGGUUCCCCUAGUUUUAACCCUGCAGCUGAAAACAUGUUUCAGAGAAACCGUUAUGUUUACACGGCAUGGUUAAUCUAGCCUCUAGUGGCUGUCUCCCUGACAGCCACUAGAGGCACUUCUACGAUUUACACCUAGUAAAUCGCACUUAUAUGACGCUGGACGUUCUCACGGACCUCCAGCAUCAAAACAGAUCCCCAUCGGAAAGCACAGAGUAAUGCUUUCCUAUGGGCGGGUUUGAAUGCACAUUCGGCUCCACUCGGGUGCUGACGUCAGUGGAGGAGGAGAG